CAUAUCCGGACUUUUCUGGUGUAAACAACGACAGUUGCGUCAGCCGAACAUUGAAGAAAAGCUGACAAGUCAUGGAGGAAGAAGAUCCCUCUCAAGAAAGUAUUGCAGUGAUGAAGUCAGAUGAGAUGACAGGUUGUGUGAUUUGAAGAUGGACUUCUGCAACAAAGUAAACACUCCUCUACCUUUUCCAUACAAAAGAAACAGCAAAGCAGAGAGAUCGAAACAUUUGGUAAAAGUACAAAGAAAACAGGAUUAGUUAAACUUGUGAAAAAUAUCAAGACUAUUGAAGAGCAGAUUAUAUGUAAAAAGAAAGAUCAA